GACGAACGCUGGCGGCGCGCUUAACACAUGCAAGUCGAACGGAAAGGCCUGCUUUCCCUUGUGGAUUGCGGGUACUCGAGUGGCGAACGGGUGAGUAACACGUGAGUGAUCUGCACCCAACUUGGGUAUAAGCCUGGGAAACUGGGUCUAAUUCCCGAUAGGACUGCAGGGUGGUGCCUGUGGUGGAAAACGAUUUUCUAGUGGUUGGGGAUGAGCUCGCGGCCUAUCAGCUUGUUGGUGGGGUAAUGGCCUACCAAGGCGGCGACGGGUAGCCGGCGUGAGAGGGGGGACGGCCACAUUGGGACUGGGAUACGACCCAGACGCCUACGGGAAGCAGCAGUUGGGAAGAUUGCACAGAGAGCGGAAGGCUGAUGCAGCGACGCCGCGUGGGGGAUGACGGCCUUCGGGUUGUAAACUCCUUUCGACCGCGAGGAAGCCACCUGGUUGGAAGGGUGGUGACGGUAGUGGUAGAAGAAGCACCGGCUAACUACGUG
rnacentral:rRNA from 1 species